rnacentral:lncRNA from 1 species
UAUUUUAUUUUCCAAGUUACCAUAAGAUUCAAUAUGAAGAGCACUUGUAGCAUAAGAUGGAUCUAUAACGUAACAUAUGAGUUCACGUGAAACUAAUAUCUUUUGCUUAGAACUUAUAAUAUCAAUAUGUAUUAAGACAUCUAUAAAUAUUUGACUGUAAAUCCAAUUAUUAUAUAACUAAUAUAUAUAAAAAGUUGAAUUUUGCUAGAAGAAGAAUGAAAU